UACAGAGGGUGCAAGCGUUGUUCGGAAUUACUGGGCGUAAAGCGCGUGUAGGCGGCGUCGUUAGUCGGAUGUGAAAGCCCUCGGCUCAACUGAGGAAGUGCACCCGAAACUGGCGAGCUUGAGUACGAAAGAGGAUCGCGGAAUUCCCGGUGUAGAGGUGAAAUUCGUAGAUAUCGGGAGGAACACCGGUGGCGAAGGCGGCGAUCUGGGCCGAUACUGACGCUGAGGAGCGAAAGCGUGGGGAGCGAACGAGG
rnacentral:rRNA from 1 species